rnacentral:rRNA from 1 species
UACGUAGGGUGCAAGCGUUGUCCGGAAUUCUUGGGCGUAAAGAGCUCGUAGGCGGUCUGUCGCGUCGGCUGUGAAAUCCCGAGGCUCAACCUCGGGUCUGCAGUCGAUACGGGCAAACUAGAGUAUUGCAGGGGAGACUGGAAUUCCUGGUGUAGCGGUGAAAUGCGCAGAUAUCAGGAGGAACACCGGUGGCGAAGGCGGGUCUCUGGGCAAUAACUGACGCUGAGGAGCGAAAGCGUGGGGAGCGAACAGG